AGGAAUGAAAUGGUCAAACCUGUUAGGUAAGUGUUGGGUGACUUUUUGACAAAUAAGUAAUAAAAUAAAGAAAAGAAAAUAUCAUCUUUUCUUCAUCUUCUCUCCACCGAAAAAAAUGGCAGCAAAGAAAGGGUUUAGAAGCUGGAAACUUUCAGUAAAGAAACUCCCUUUAUAAGUUUCCAAGUUAGCUCGGGUUGGAGGCCGUCAGAGAUAUUAUCACACUGUCAAGCUAACGCUAUUGGUGUAGUGAUUUCAAGUACUUUGAGCCUAUGGCAUGUAUAGGAGUUUAAAUAUUGGAGUAUGUGAUAUGCUUUAACCAUAUGUAUUGGCCUAUUUUGAUUAUGGGGUUGUAAAUCUAUUUUAAUUAUGCAUGCAUGUGCUAUGGUGUUAUGUGAUGAGUUUAUAAUGAUUAUAGUAAGAAUGUGAAAAA